UACAGAGGUCUCAAGCGUUGUUCGGAUUCAUUGGGCGUAAAGGGUGCGCAGGCGGUAUGUUAAGUCAACUGUUAAAUCUCCCAGCCUAACUGGGAAUCAGCGGUAGAUACUGGCAUGCUAGAGGGUGGAAGAGAGAAGUGGAAUUCUUGGAGUAGCGGUAAAAUGCGUAGAUCUCAAGAGGAACACCGAUGGCGAAGGCAGCUUCUUGGUCCACAUCUGACGCUCAUGCACGAAAGCGUGGGGAUCAAACAGG
rnacentral:rRNA from 1 species